rnacentral:lncRNA from 1 species
GAAAGCCACAGCAGCAAGGAAUCACCCCUCGUCAGGGAAGUUCACAGCGAUAGGAAUGAAAUAGAACAGUGGCUUCGGGAGCCACAAGGGACCUGCUGUGUGCACAUUCUGAUACUGAGCUCAGCAGAGGUACAAGAGAAAUAUACCGCCACGGCUUCCUUCAAAGAGCUCGCCGCAUGGCUGGGAAGCAGUAGCAGGGAGGCUUCGCUCAGUGCAGACGGCUCGAUGGGUCUUUUCAAUAUUCUGUCACAAGAUCACCAGUGAAUCUCUGCGGAACAAAAGAUUUCCUUCGCUUCUCGUCUCAGUGCAAGCCUUGACCACACACAUGUAAGCUUCGUUUCACUCAGCGGUUUCCAAGCUGACAAUGUCCCAGGCGAGGCCGGGUUUCAGCAGACGCAUCCCUGCAUCCUCCACCAGCACUGUUUGUUCUGAAAUCAUCUUGUUCAUGGGGAUUCUGGGGAAAACCUUACUCAGCCCCCUUUCUCCUCCCUGUGGUGUCAGCAUUCCCAUCCUGGCUGCAUAUUCAACUCACCUGGGGAGACUAAAAAACACCCCAAUACACAGGAUCUGCUGAAACACCCCAAUACACAGGAUCUACCCAAACACCCCAAUACACAGGACCCCCCAAAACACCCCAAUACACAGGACCCCCCAAAACACCCCAAUACACAGGACCCGCCCAAACACCCCAAUACACAGGACCCGCCGAAACACCCCAAUACACAGGACCCGCCGAAACACCCCAAUACACAGGACCCGCCGAAACACCCCAAUACACAGGACCCCUCAAAACACCCCAAUACACAGGACCCGCCCGAGCACCCCAAUACACAGGACCCGCCCGAGCACCCCAAUACACAGGACCCACCAAACACCCCAAUACACAGAACCCCCCGAAACACCCCAAUACACAGGAUCCCCCGAAACACCCCAAUACACAGGAUCCCCCGAAACACCCCAAUACACAGGAUCCCCCAAAACACCCCAAUACACAGGAUCCCCCGAAACACCCCAAUACACAGGACCCACUGAAACGCCCCAAUACACAGGAUCCCCCAAAACACCCCAAUACACAGGAUCCCCCGAAACACCCCAAUACACAGGACCCACUGAAACGCCCCAAUACACAGGAUCCCCCGAGAUCCUGAUUUAGUGUCAGAGAACCUGCUUCCUGGGUGAUCCCAGUGUGAAGGCCUGGGCGGAAACCCAUUUCAGGUUCCCACGCCAGCAGAUGCCGAGUGACCACGCCUGGGCGGGCAGGGCUUUCGGUUCUUCCCAGCUGUGUGACCUUGGCAGGGCCCUGCAGCUCUCUGAGCCUUGGGUUCGCCCAUGUGUGCUGGGAUAGUGUCCCUGCCUUCCGUGUCUCUCAGGAGUAUUGAGAACAUCAAGUGAAUUCCAGCAUGGGGCCAGUGCAGGCCAGCAACCAAGAGCGCCCUGCUCCUUCAAGGCAGAGCCUGGAGCCAGGCCACAGAGGCCGGAAGACGCUGGAAGUGCGGCGGGAGCCGGUCCCAUCUGCCCUCCGCACUCUGCCCAGGCUUCUGCCACCGAGCACUGCCUGGACCUGGUGGGGCAUGACUGGGACCCAGGAAGGGUCUGCGACGUCAGUGACAUAAAGCCCAAUAGGACAGAAAAAGGAAGCACUUCUCUCAUUGGAAGUGUUACCUAGAUGUGGGAAUGACAGUGCAGUCAUUGUGAAUGGAGGUCCUGGGGCCGAACCGCCCAGGUGAGAAUCCAGCCUCUACCAGGAGAAGCUGCUGAAGUCUCAUUUCUUCACCUGUACAAUGGGCAGAGUUGCUUUGAGGAUUAAAUGAGAUAAUCCAUACAAGGUGACACCAUGGAAGGUCAGAGAGGUUAGGGAUCUAAUUGCCCAAGGGGCAAUGCCAGCAAGUGGAAACAGAGCCAGAACCUGAACCCACGUCUGCCUAACUCCAAAGACAGCUCUUUCUACCAUCUAUGACAGAGGAGGUGAAGAUCAAGCCCUGGCCCAGUCACACGGGAGGCACUGUGGAGCUGUGGAGCCCGAAGCAGCAGACAGAGGGGUGAGGAGGGCCUGCGCCCUGUGGCAGGUGGGGGCCUCUAGGUGCCCCCUGCGGUGGGAAAGGCCCUGCCAAGAAGUCCUCGCUCUCCCUCCUGUCUAACAUCAGCCUGCUCCCAACGGCUGGCUCCCAUUCUCCUUCCUCCACAAAGCAAACUCCCAUCCCCAGUCGGGCAGGCCACCUGCUCUCUACACCCCAAGGCCACCUCGGCCUAUGUCGGGGUGAGCUUCCGCCCUCAAUGGGACCUAGAAGGCGCAAGAGAAGAGCAUGAGGUGGCAGCCAUGUGCUGGGGGCCUGGAUCCUGGGACCCAGAUGCUGGGUCAUAUGGGGCAGCUGUGAGGUCUGUACUGGGGUCUCAACCCUGCAUUCUAAGUGGGGUGAGGAGGGAUUUCC